UAAUGCCAUCUGGUCAUGGGUCAAUGUACAUGAAUGUAAUGCAUGAGAAGUACGUCAAUAAAAUCUUUCGGAGUGUCAUAAGACCAUUUUGCCUUUAAAUAAUACCUUAAAGUAAACUUGAUCAACUUACGUAUGAGACCCUUGAACAUUUGAUAGAAUAGUAUGACACAUGGGGAAUCAAGAACAUAAGCAUCUAUAAUAUUCCUAUGAAUAGAGUCAUUUGUGGAAAUUGUGCAUUUACUCGUUUUGUUCGUAUAGUAUAGAUCAUGCCAAAAGAAAGAAAUGAUAGCCUUAACAUACCUGAGCCGAUUCUCUUGACAAUCCCUCUAAUAUACGUCAAUUGAAACAAAUCACAUAAUGGCAAUAUCAGAGUAGAAAAAAAUUCAUAUGAUAUUCUUGCGAAAGAUUGCACCAUACUCCUUUAGAAUCGUAAAAUCCCGUUGCUAUAAUAUUACGUAGUCUCGUAUAAAUUUUGUUUUCACUGAAGAACUCACGUUACAUGUAUAUACAUGUUCUUGCAUGAACUUGAUGAAGAAAACUAACUUACUUUAUCUCACUUUGUGAAAGAGUCCAAAGAAUUAUGUUUUAAAUUUUCCCAUCCGUAAGUGUCUUCUUUGAAGACAUAUUAAAGCCUUUCACAAUUAAGCUUUGUGGGCCCCAUUUACAUAGUGACUAAGACCCAAGAUUCCUCCAAUUGUGACACUUUAUAGUAAUGACUAAUGAGUCAUGUCACACCACUUUUUUCCUACACCUCGAAAGGUAUAUAAGGGAGUUUUUUCCAACUUAAAGUGAUAAUCGAAACAGGAUGAUUUUAUUAAAAAUUCAGAGUCGCCACUUGAGAUAAUUGUGGUGUCCCAAGUUACCGAUUUAAAUCCCGAAUCGAGGAAAGAUUAACUCUGUUUUACAGUCCGCGAUCCAGAAAUUCUAAGUAAGGAAUUUUGUUAGCCCGGGAGAAGGUAUUAGGCAUUCCCGAGUUUCGUGGUUCUAGCACGGUCGCUCAACUAUUAUUAUUGGCUUAUUUAUCUGAUUUUAACACAUGUUUUAGCCUAUGGUAUAUUCUAAUUUAUUAACCGCUUUUAAUCAUUUUUAAGAAGAUUCAACGCUAUUUAAAACACGCAUUGGACCACGCCACAUGAAAUGCACCCGCGGUCCGCGACAUAUUUUAUCUAAAGUUGUUGAGAUUUGGGUUUGGGUCACAUGAAAUGCACACCCGAGUUUAAGAAAGUUAAUUUAAAAUUACGCGCCUUAAGCAACUACGCGCUUCCAAGUUUGCGAGGGCCACAAAAAAUUUGGUAAUGACACACCUCGAAUUCUAAAGGAUUAAAGUUAAUUAAGCGAGGGCCGUGGGUCAUCUAAUUUUAUCUGUGGCAUACCUCGAGUUUAAAUUCAGAAAUAAAAAAAGCUGAUUAAUCAAUUAGAAGACUAAGGGAAUUUGCAUCUAUUGUUUCAAAGCUAAUGUCCACUAAACUUAAUACUUAAGGACUGAUAUUAAACUGAAAUGGAUCAUUUGGUUAUUUGGGGAAGUUAAGACCAGCAAUAGGGCUUGUAGCCUCAAGCAGGUUAGGCCCAAUUGGUCAAACAAUAUGUGAAGGGGCUCAGAAACAUGCAAAAAGAGUCGGCAUUAAAGCAGGCCCAAAGGCCCACUUCGACAGGCUGCAUGCUGGACGCCCAUAUUACACCAAAAAUUGGGGCAAACAUAAGAUGAGUGGCAUCAAAAUAAACACACAUGGCUAAUCAUAAUUUUUGUCAAUUGCUGCAAUUAAACAAAAUACGAAAACUGAAUUUGAAACUCUUUAUCAACAGUACUAAACUUCAUACAAACAGAACACUAUGGGAAUACAUAACUAGAACAACUCAAUUAUACUGGUUCACUAACCAAUCUCAAGCUGGGUUUAAAAGAGCAAUUAUGCAGAAGAAAAGAAACAACACUGCCAUUUGUACAAUCUUUAAAGGACAAAAUGAUGCGGACUGCUAAUAUAUUCAAUAAUAGCUAAACCCAUUAUCACGUAAAUAAUUAUGCAGCAUGUUUUUAGCAGAUUCGAACAUUAAAAUGAAACUGACUGAAGCAUUCAUCCCUGAUCCUCAUAACUUAUUCAUUCACUACAUUAACUCCCUGUGAGCUUAGUACUAUUUAACAACAUUUUGAGCUAUUUGAAAGCUAAUCAACUAGGAAAUGAAGAUUAACUAACCUUAGCUUAUGAAGCAAAAUUAAUCUGAACUACUAAAAAAACCAAAUACAUUAGAUUGUAGCCCUCCAUAAUGUUGCAAGCUCUUCCCAUACAGGAGUGAUGUCAAUUUAGCACUUGACUCUCACGAAUCUGAUCAUGUCAAGGUCAGAUCCAUCAAGAGUCAUGUUGCACACAGGCUAACCCCUGGCUAAAACUCACAAUUCAAAACAUGAAAUAAAUAUUAAACGUGAAUGAGCGAAAAAUAGUACAUAAGAAACCAAGCCCAAUAGAUAUCAACUAAUGUAUUUGAAGCACAAGACAUGCAUGUUUCAAGCAUAUAAGACAAGAAUCAACAUAAAUGUAUAUCCUAUCAUUCAAACAACAUCUUUAGCAUUCAUGUGAAAUCAUGACUACAGGGGUUUUGGCAUAGGGCCACAAUGUGUACCUCAAAUGCCUGAAAUCUGCUUCAAAAUCUAAAAAAAAAUAUUCCACAAUAGAAGGCAAGGCAGCAAGCAACCAACAAAUACAACCCUUUUAAUUCAUUCUCAAAUCCCAGAAUUUCAGCAGAUGUUCAAGAUUUAAAACCAGGAAAAUGGAAACAGAUAACCAAUGAAACAGUACUAGAAAUUUCCCCUUUUUUGUGGUGUUUUCUAAUUCUGAAAUUCUAUCUAUCUGUGUGUAUUUUUCAGUGCUUUAGAUACAAAGAAGAUUACUUGAAACCUUUCAGUCGUUUUUUAUUUUUUGAGUCUCUGAUCCCCUUUGAAAAUUCAGGAAAUGGGGAUUUUAUAGAUGGGUUUUAGGGCAGCAGUAAUGAUUUGUUAAAUAUCAGUCACCCCCUUCCCCAAUUUUUCUUUUUGUUCAAUUUAGACCCCAACAUAAAUAAGUUUUGCAAGCCAAUCCCUUCCCCCACUUUCCUAGAAGCUUCCCAAUACAGUUACAAAAGAUUCCCCUACUUAAAAACCCCGAAUUACCCUUUAAGCUUAGGUUAUUUACCCUCGAGACCAACAUGGGUCAAGUUGACCCAAGACUCAAACCCAAACCCUAGGCCUGCCACUCGGACUGACCCUCUUCUUUGGGCUUCUGAUUUUCAAAACCCAAUUAACAAAUCCAGAACCCAACAGAAAAAUUCAAUAACAGGGAAACCAGAGUUAUAUGAACACCUGAAACCAAGGAUUUCAACUAAAACAGAAAUAUGAGGGGAAUUUAAACAAAAACAAAAUCAAACAAACUAAGACAAACACUAACUGAAAGAAAAAAUAAACUAGAAUUAACGGGCGUGAUGUGAAAAAAUAGAAAAAUUAAAUAAAGGAAAGAAUCAGAUGAAGCUUGGAAUGAAAUUACAAUGAAAAACCAAAGGACCUAAAAUACCUGAAAGAGACAAAUGGACGAUGGGUUUGAACGGAUUAUCCGGCAGUUUCGAUUUGAACCCAAAAUGAGUGUUAUUCCGGUUGAUCUUGUAAGAACAACCCGUCUAACACUUGUUUCCAGUCAAAAACUCUUCAAGGCUUGGAGAACAAUCAAACCAGACCCUUAAAUGAUGAAUCAGAGGCGAGGGAAGAAUUAGGGUUCCGUCUUAAGAUUUGAAAUUAAUGAAAAACGGAGAGGAUUUUAGGAAAAUUGAUGGUGGUUUAGUGUUUGAGGGAUUUUGAGGAGUAUGUGGUGUUAAUUUGGGGUUGCUUGGAGUUCCCUCGCCGGUGAAAAUGGCGGAAACUCCUUAAGGCAGUGCUGGUUCGAUGAGAGAGAUGGUGUUUGAGAUAGACAGAAGUCUAGGUUGAACUGAAGAUCUUCAGACAUUUUAAUUAAAGUGGGGUAAG
rnacentral:lncRNA from 1 species